rnacentral:rRNA from 1 species
GAUGAACGCUGGCGGAGUGAUUAACACAUGCAAGUCGAACGGAAAGGCCCAAGCUUGCUUGGGUACUCGAGUGGCGAACGGGUGAGUAACACGUGGGUGAUCUGCCCUUCACUUCGGGAUAAGCCUGGGAAACUGGGUCUAAUACCGGAUAGGACCUCUUCUUGCAUGUUGUGGUGGAAAGUUUUUUCGGUGUGGGAUGAGGUCUCGGCGUAUCCGCUUGUUGUUGGGGUGUUGGCGUACCAAGGCGUCGACGGGUAGACGGCACGAGAGGGUGUACGGCCACAUGGGGAAGGAGAUACAGGCCAGAGUCGGCAGGGGGGCAGCAGGGGGGAAAAUUGCACAAAGGGCGCAAGCGUGAUGCAGCGACGAAGCGGGGGGGAGGACGGCCUUUGUGUGGUAAACACCUUUCGCUAGGGACGAAGCGUUUUUGUGACGGUACCUGGAGAAGAAGCACCGGCUAACUACGUG